UACGUAGGUGGCGAGCGUUGUCCGGAUUUAUUGGGUUUAAAGGGUGCGUAGGCGGCUUUUGUAAGUCAGUGGUGAAAUACUCCAGCUUAACUGGAGGGGUGCCAUUGAUACUGCGGAGCUUGAGUACAGAUGAGGUAGGCGGAAUUGACGGUGUAGCGGUGAAAUGCGCAGAUAUCAGGAGGAACACCGAUGGCGAAGGCAGGUCUCUGGGCAUUAACUGACGUGAGGAGCGAAAAGCAUGGGGGGAGCGAACAGGG
rnacentral:rRNA from 1 species